rnacentral:rRNA from 1 species
CACGUAGGAGGCGAGCGUUGUCCGGAAUCAUUGGGCGUAAAGAGCGCGCAGGCGGCUUGGCAAGUCGGGUGUGAAAUCCCGGGGCUCAACCCCGGGACUGCAUUCGAUACUGUCAGGCUAGAGGUAGGUAGGGGAGAUCGGAAUUCCUGGUGUAGCGGUGAAAUGCGCAGAUAUCAGGAGGAACACCGGUGGCGAAGGCGGAUCUCUGGGCCUUACCUGACGCUCAGGCGCGAAAGCCUAGGGGAGCGAACAGG